CCCUUAGAUGUUCUGGGCCGCACGCGCGCUACACUGACUGCUCCAACAAGUUACCUGGGCUGACAAGCAUCCGGGAAAUCUUGCAAAGGCAGUCGUGAUGGGGAUAGAUUCUUGUAAUUUUUGAUCUUCAACGAGGAAUUCCUAGUAAACGCAAGUCAUCAGCUUGCAUUGAUUACGUCCCUGCCCUUUGUACACACCGCCCGUCGCAUCUACCGAUUGAAUGGAGAGGCAAAAUCUUCGGACCGUGACGCUUGGGAGUCAAAUCUCGGGCUGUCGUGGGAAGUGGAUUAAACCUUUCUAUUUAGAGGAAGGUAAAGUCGUANCA
rnacentral:rRNA from 1 species